CCAACUCAUGAGAUUCUUGCUACACUUGUUGCUACUAUUUCAGGUACAUGAUAAGUUUGUCAAAUAGGAAUUUUAGAAUAUUUUUUAAGGUUUAGUGUGUUUGCUCCGAGUUUCUCAGUGAAUGGACAUAUAGGACUUGUUACUGUGAUUAAACGAGAGAUCUCAGUUUUUGCUUCAUGUUUUCAGAUUUGGUGACAUUAACUCACUUGUUUCCAUUUUUGUCAGCUAAGAGGCCUAAGGUUGUUAAUUUUCCUGGAACCUCCCAUGGCUAAUCCACCUAAGUGAGAGCACUUCAGUUCAGAUCAGAAUAAUUGAAAUUUUGUGUGUUUGCUAACAUUGUUUUAUUUAUUGUGUGGAAUCCAAAUCAUAAACGCUACAAAGUUGAA
rnacentral:lncRNA from 1 species